rnacentral:lncRNA from 1 species
CGUCUGGCGUAUUAAAUUACAAGCCUGGUACCUUUGAUAACAAUUCCAAUUGUCCUAAUCCAAAUCCCGUCUCAUUUUCUUCACAAGUGAAAACAUCGAAUAAGAACUUGCAUAAGCAACACGUCGGGUACCACAUGUGAAUCAGGAUCAAACAAAUCAAGUGCACCUGAGAUUAACCCCGUUUUUUUGGUGGGUUCGGGUUGCUCUGUCUUUAGUUUUCUAUGUUUGAAGACUUGUUUUUCUUUUAGUCUUUGUUCGUAUUAUCCCAUGGCGUUGUCAGUUUGUCAUUAACUUCCGAGUUUGAAUAUCUCUUUGGUAUCUUCCACCACUCUUUAGCCACCAUUCUUCCUACUGUUACAUUGUUAUAAGGAUUCU